rnacentral:rRNA from 1 species
CUACACAUGCAAGUCGAACGCAGUAGCAAUACUGAGUGGCAGACGGGUGAGUAACAUGUGGGAAUCUGCCUUGUGGUUCAGGACAACAUUGGGAAACCGAUGCUAAUACUGGAUAAGCCCUUACGGGGAAAGUUUUAAUGCCAUAAGAUGAGCCCGCAUUUGAUUAGUUAGUUGGUGAGGUAAUGGCUCACCAAGACAAUGAUCAAUAGCUGAUCUGAGAGGAUGAUCAGCCACACUGGGACUGAGACACGGCCCAGACUCCUACGGGAGGCAGCAGUGGGGAAUCUUGCACAAUGGAGGAAACUCUGAUGCAGCGAUGCCGCGUGAGUGAAGAAGGCCUUUGGAUUGUAAAGCUCUUUUGUAGGGGAAGAUAAUGACUGUACCCUAAGAAUAAGGUCCGGCUAACUUCGUGCCAGCAGCCGCGGUAAUACGAAGGGACCUAGCGUAGUUCGGAAUUACUGGGCGUAAAGCGCGCGUAGGCCGUUGAGUUAGUUAAUUGUGAAAUCCCAAAGCUUAACUUUGGAACUGCAAUUAAAACUGCUCGACUAGAGUUUGAUAGAGGAAAGCGGAAUACAUAGUGUAGAGGUGAAAUUCGUAGAUAUUAUGUAGAACACCAGUUGCGAAGGCGGCUUUCUGGAUCAACACUGACGCUGAGGCGCGAAAGUAUGGGUAGCAAAGAGGAUUAGAUACCCUCGUAGUCCAUACCAUAAACGAUGAUUGCUAGAUGUUGGAAAUUUAUUUUCAGUAUCGCAGCUAACGCAUUAAGCAAUCCGCCUGGGGAGUACGACCGCAAGGUUAAAACUCAAAUGAAUUGACGGGGACCCGCACAAGCGGUGGAGCAUGUGGUUUAAUUCGAAGAUACGCGCAGAACCUUACCAACCCUUGACAUGUCUGUCGCGAGUUUAGGAAACUAGACUUUUCGGUUCGGCCGGACAGAACACAGGUGCUGCAUGGCUGUCGUCAGCUCGUGUCGUGAGAUGUUUGGGUAAGUC